rnacentral:lncRNA from 1 species
AGGGCGGGCGCGGGCAGGGGAAGGAGGCGGAGGAGGAGCAGCGGGAGGAGGGGUCAGAGGAGAAGCGGGCGCGGGGAGGAAAAGGAGGAGGAGGCAGAGGCGGUCUGGGCCGGGCCGGGCCUGACCCCUGCGUCCCGGGGGCACAGGCGUUCUUAAGGCUGCAGAGCCCUGGGUCCCCCACCCGGCCCCGGUUCACUUUGAGCGGUCCCAAGGCCUGAGGGCCUACUGUCCAGUCCCCAGGUUAUCGUCCUGAGCAAAGACAGACCCCGAGCCCUGCGGUCUUGGGGCUCAAACAGUCCCUGGAUGGCCAAACAAGCAAAUAUUCGCCAUGGCAGUGGGUGCUGGAAGGGUGGCUCACGGAGCUGACGCCCUCCGCAGAGAACCGUGGUCUAGUCCUGCGGUCACGAGGCCUAUCUGGGACAGUGGUGUUUGAGCUGAGACUUUAACGAAUAGAGACAGGUGAGGUUCCUGCAGCCCAGGGCUUCAGCGUGAACAACCCCAGAAGGAAAAAGAGUGCUGUUGUUAAAGGUAUCUGGCAUCAUGGACCCAACCAUCACCAGGAGUUUCUCACUUCAUCUCUGGUGAGUUUCUCUGUUUAGCAUUCCUUUCAAAGUAGGUUUUUUCUCAAGGUGGGGAACCUAGGAGCUCCAGUGUCACAUCCAUACUUCAUUAUGACCAAAGAGGAAAGAUAGCCCUAGCUCAAGUCUCAAAAUAUCUAAAAGACCCUCAUGAGGUCAGCCGGAGUCCCAGGUGUAUUCCUGGAAAUCUCAGUGGCCAAAGAGGUGGCUGCCAUGCCGUUUCAAGUCAGAUUCAGGUACAAGAGGUUUUAUUAAGGAAAUUUUCUUAGUAGAAAAUGGUAAGGGUAUAUGAAGGCAGGAUAAAGAAGAGAAAAUUCCUGGUCAAAGCUGCAAUUUCAGAUGAAGUGCCAGCCUUGGGCCACAGAGAGCUUAGAGCAUAAAUUACAUGUCAGAAUUUGUCCCCUUCCACAGCAAGGGAGCUGGGCAAAAGCAACAUUGUGCCAGUCAUUGGUUACAGCUUGCCUUGGUCAGUGGGAUGUAAACCCUGGCUCUCUAUAUGCAUGGCAGCCCUGUUAGCUCCAAGGUAAUCCUCUGAAGAAGGUUGCAGAUACAAACUUUGCAGCAAAAGGAAGAAGUAGUUGGGGGCUGGGCACACAGCAUUUGGUAGAGGGGAUCUGAAAGGGCUGCAUGGUGUUCCCUGCACACACCUAUUCCUAAGUGUCCAAAAUGUUGGGUCUCUAUGAUUGGCAACCCCAAUAAGCACCAUGCUUUUGAGCCAGGGAGGAGAGAUUUACCAAAAGAGGGACUAUCCUGUUGCUCUUUUGAAGAAGAAAGAAGUGAUGGGCAGACAAAAUCUGUAUAGCUUCAGCUGAUUUGGACUUACCAAAGUUGACCCCAAGCAAGUUGCAUUAAGGUCCGAUAAACACACACUUAGAAAAGGACAGUUGCAUUUACUGCGCACCUAAUACUGUUUUGUCAACAGCUUUAUUGUAGUAUAAUUUGCAUACAAUAAUGGCACACAUUUAAUGUGCACAGUGUGAUAAAUUUUGACAUAUGUAUACAUCCAUGAAGCCGGCACCACAAUCAAGAUAAUGAACAUCUCGCUUACCCCAGAAGUUUCCUGUGCCCUGUCACUCCUCCGUAUUCCUCCAUCCUCAGGAUUUCAUCAAAUGGUCUGCUGCACUGUGCUGGAAUUUUGAACUCCCCAGAGUAGUAAACAACAUCUUCUCAAGGGUAUACAAGUCAUCAGAUAGAGAAAACACCCAUUAUAGAGCUGUGGAGCCCUUACGAUAUAGUGCUAUGCUGCAACAAAUUAGACAGAAGAGUAUUUGUUGAAUAAUAAAAGGUAUCAAUGAACGAACAAAUAAAUUAAUGAGCUGAUGUAUUGAUUAAAUGAAUUUACUUCUUUCAGAUUUACUUUUCCAAACUAAAAAAAAAUUGUUUUAAACUUUGUUCCAAAGUUAUACAGUUUUUACAAAAAUAAAACUUUAUUUUUGAAUUGCUUUAUAUUUACAGAAAAGUUGCAAAGAUAUGGAAAGUUGCCUCACCCUAUAAUUAGCUUCUGACAUUAGUAUGGUACAUUUGUCACAAUUAUUGAACCAGUAUUGAUGAUAUGUUAUUAUUAACUAAAUUCUAUACUUUAUAAAGAUUUCCUCAGUUUUUACCUAAUGCCAUUUCUCUGUUCCAGGAACCCAUCCCAGAAAUCACAUUUCAUAUUGAUAUCAAGUUUCCUAAGACUCCUCUUCGUAGGUACAGUUUCAGGGCCAAAAUUUUAAGGGCCUUGAGUGUUUUGAGCAGUACUGGACAGGUGUUUUUUAGGAUGUCCCUCGACUGAGCUUUGACUGAUGAAUUGCUCAUGAUUGAAUUGGGACUAUGGGUCUUCAGAAGAAAGAUCAUGAGCCCUUUUUGUCACAUCAUGUCAAAGAUACCAUGCCAUCAAUACAACUUAUUACUGAUGAUGUUGACAUUGACCACUUGACUGAGAUAACAUUUGUCAGAUUUCUCCACUGUAAAGUUACUUUUCCCCACUUUCCAUACUAUACUCUUUUGUAGGAAGUCACUAUGCACAGGCCAUACUUAAAGAGAGCUCCAUCUCCUUGAGGGCAGAGUAACUACAUUAAAUAUUUGAAAUCUUUCUGCCCAGGAGAUUUGUCUAUUUUUCCAAUUUAUUUAUUCAAUCUAUUAUUAUUAUGUUAGAUAUGAGACCUUGCUAUGUUGCCUAGAUGGGUCUCAAACUCCUGAGCUCAAGUAAUCCUUCUGUCUCAGCCUCCUGAGCAGGUGGGACUAUAGGCAUGCACCACUGCACCUGACAAUCAUUUAUUGAUGGCAGUAUGAACUCAUGGACAUUUGUUUUAUCCUUAAGUUAUAACCCAAUAUUAUAUUAUUUUAUUGCUAAAUUAUUUCAGUUUUGGCCAUUGAAGCUCUUUUGUUUAAUGCCCAUGUCAUUUUGACAUACCUCUAUCAUUGUGGGAUUUCUUUUUACUUUUUUGCAGAUAUUUCUUUAGUUUUUGGCACUACAAGAGGCUCUAGUUUCAUCAUCUAUCCUGCCCCAGCCCAAGAUUCAACCAUUUCUUCAAGUAGCCCUUGCUCUUUUUUACUGUACAUUGUAAUUAAUAAUCAAGUUCUUGGCACUAGGUUCUUCAGAAAUUUUUUUUUAGUUUAUAUGUUUGUUGAUAAGGUAUUGAUAAAGAUUCUGCUAGUGAUUACCAAUGUAACUUUUGGCAAAUUAUCUGAAACAUGGAAAUAAUAAUUUCUACUUCAUAGGACUGUUGUACAUUUUAAAUGGAUUCACUAGGAUAGUGCACGGAGUAAAAGGAAACAAAUAGUAACUCUAAAUGGUAUUAUUACAAAUUCAUUGGAAAUAAAUAAAUGUAAAUUUGCUUCCAAAAGUCAAUCUGAAUUCUCUGGAAGUUUUGUUUCUGCUUUGACAUGUUUUCAUUGCUAUAUACGUAGACUAAGAAGUUAGAGACUCUGAUUCUAGGCCUAGCUCGGUUGUUAAAAAGAAUUCACUCCAG